GCCUCCGUAGUUCAACGGAUAGAACAGCACACUCCUAAGGUGCGGAUCGAGGUCCGAUUCCUCGCGGAGGCG
rnacentral:tRNA from 1 species